rnacentral:rRNA from 1 species
UACGUAGGGGGCAAGCGUUGUCCGGAUUUAUUGGGCGUAAAGAGCGUGUAGGCGGCCGCACAGGUCCGUUGUGAAAACUGGAGGCUUAACCUUCAGACGUCGAUGGAAACCGUGCGGCUAGAGUCCGGAAGAGGAGAAUGGAAUUCCUGGUGUAGCGGUGAAAUGCGCAGAUAUCAGGAAGAACACCCGUGGCUAAGGCGGUUCUCUAGUACGGUACUGACGCUGAGGUGCGAAAGCGUGGGGAGCAAACAGG